UCUUUUUUUUUUUUUUUUUGGUGAUGGGGAGGCGGGGAAGGCUUUGUGUGCUAUUAAGAGCAUGGGAUUUCAGUUCUUUAUCAGCUUGAAAAUUUCUGAUGAUGUGAGCUAUAAAUAAGAUUGCAACUUGAAAGGUUCUCUCUUCAAAGUGGUGUUCAUGAAUUGGUAGAAAAAAAAAGGGUCUAGCAGAAAUUCUUGGUAAGGAGAUAAUGUUAAUACCAAGAAAAUGACAUUAUAAAUAUCAAUUUCAUGCACAUUAGCAACUUUUGGUGGAAUAUGUUGUCUUUUACAGG
rnacentral:misc_RNA from 1 species